UCAGCCCUGGGCCGUGCAGGGGAGUCCAUCACAUACCUGCUCUCCGUUAACAUCCAGUUCUGACCAACACCACAUACCUCAGCUAUUUUUUCAGCCAGUUCACUCUCCUCCAACCGCUGGCUCCUUGUUCCAGAAUCGCAGGCAUGCUCCCAGAUACGGUAUCUCCCAGAGCCCAGGACACCAUGAGCCAUCCUGAUACACUCGAGUGUGGCCCUGAAAUCAUAUAUCACUCCCAGGUGAGAACCACCGACCCUACUGAGAAAACAAAGAAAGAAAAAAGAGAGAGACAGAGAAUCAGGUGCUACUUAAAAACAGCAUUUUCCAGUAUUUUCUAAUGACUUUGGUCAGCAGAGCGGAAGAGCGUCAUGUAGAGAAAGAGUG